GGCGAACGGGUGAGUAACACGUGACUACCUACCCUUGAGUGGGGGAUAACCCCGGGAAACCGGGGCUAAUACCGCAUAACAUCGAGAGAUCAAAGGAGCAAUCCGCUCUUGGAGGGGGUCGCGGCUGAUUAGCUAGUUGGUGAGGUAACGGCUCACCAAGGCGAAGAUCGGUAUCCGGCCUGAGAGGGCGCACGGACACACUGGAACUGAAACACGGUCCAGACUCCUACGGGAGGCAGCAGUGGGGAAUUUUGCGCAAUGGGGGAAACCCUGACGCAGCAACGCCGCGUGGAGGAUGAAGCCCUUUGGGGCGUAAACUCCUUUCGACUGGGAAGAUACUGACGGUACCAGUGGAAGAAGCACCGGCUAACUCUGUGCCAGCCGC
rnacentral:rRNA from 1 species